rnacentral:rRNA from 1 species
CCAGUUAUCCUGGUCGGAGACAGUGUCUGGUGGGUAGUUUGACUGGGGCGGUCGCCUCCAAAAAAGUAACGGAGGCGCGCAAUGGUUCUCUCAGCCUGAUUGGAAACCAGGCGUAGAGUGUAAAGGCAUAAGAGAGCUUAACUGCGAGAGAGACAUUUCGAGCAGAUACGAAAGUAGGUCUUAGUGAUCCGGCGGUCCCGUAUGGAAGGGCCGUCGCUCAACGGACAAAAGGUACGCCGGGGAUAACAGGCUUAUCUUCCCCAAGAGUUCAUAUCGACGGGAAGGUUUGGCACCUCGAUGUCGGCUCAUCUCAUCCUGGGGCUGAAGCAGGUCCCAAGGGUAUGGCUGUUCGCCAUUUAAAGAGGUACGUGAGCUGGGUUUAAAACGUCGUGAGACAGUUUGGUCCCUAUCUGCUGUGGGCGUAGGAAAUUUGAGAGGGCCUGACCUUAGUACGAGAGGACCGGGUUGGACGAACCACUGGUGCACCAGUUGUCUUGCCAAAGGCAUAGCUGGGUAGCUAAGUUCGGAAGGGAUAACCGCUGAAAGCAUCUAAGCGGGAAGCCUGCCUCAAGAUAAGAUUUCCCAGGGUGAAUAACCCCUAAAGGACCCCGGAAGACUACCGGGUUGAUAGGUCGAUUGUGUAAGCAUGGUAACAUGUUCAGCUUAUCGGCACUAAUAGUCCGUGAGGCUUUCCUUU